rnacentral:rRNA from 1 species
GACGUAGGGCGCAAGCGUUGUCCGGAUUUAUUGGGCGUAAAGAGCUUGUAGGCGGUUUGUCGCGUCUGCCGUGAAAAUCCGGGGCUCAACCCCGGACUUGCGGUGGGUACGGGCAGACUAGAGUGUGGUAGGGGAGACUGGAAUUCCUGGUGUAGCGGUGAAAUGCGCAGAUAUCAGGAGGAACACCGAUGGCGAAGGCAGGUCUCUGGGCCACUACUGACGCUGAGAAGCGAAAGCGUGGGGAGCGAACAGG